AUGCAUCCCGAUGGAUCAGAGGGGUAUGGAUCGAAGGGAAAGGGCGUGGUGUGCGUUCGGGUUAUACAGGCAGCUUCGGUUGAUUCACCAAUAUGUUUAUUCCUUCCGGAUUUUAGCAUGAGAGAUCAACAAGAUUUGAAGGAGGAGUCGAUUUUAGGCCCAGAUAUUACCUUUUGUGGAUCAAUCAGGGGAGAGGGAGUUGUUUUUGCUGUAGUUAUUAGGAAACUGCUCAUUCAUGGCAUUUUAUUCUUGAUUAAUAGCAUCAAAUUCCUUUAUGAGAUUGUUUGGAGGGGAACAUUGGCCUGCUAUAUCUAUGGGCACGGGACAGGUCGGGCCUUUUCACCUACCCUACCACUGCACACUCAUUUGUUCUUUGAUCCCUCCAUACCCUGCGGCGGCUUAGAGAGGUGGUCCAUGGCGGGUCAGGGGGGGUUUGUGAGUAGUGCUUUGGGGAAGAAAGUUGUGAGUGGUGUGAGUUCCAGGGGGUGA
rnacentral:rRNA from 1 species